rnacentral:rRNA from 1 species
ACUGCUCAGUAACACGUGGACAACCUGCCCUUAGGUUGGGUAUAAACCCGGGAAACUGGGUAUAAUACCCGAUAGGUCUCGAUUGCUGGAAUGCAUCGAGAUUUAAAGCUCCGGCGCCUAAGGAUGGGUCUGCGGCCUAUCAGGUAGUAGUGGGUGUAGCGUACCUACUAGCCUACGACGGGUACGGGUUGUGAGAGCAAGAGCCCGGAGAUGGAUUCUGAGACACGAAUCCAGGCCCUACGGGGUGCAGCAGGCGCGAAAACUUUACAAUGCUGGCAACAGCGAUAAGGGAACCUCGAGUGCCAGGUUACAAAUCUGGCUGUCGAGAUGCCUAAAAAGCAUUUCAUAGCAAGGGCCGGGCAAGACCGGUGCCAGCCGCCGCGGUAACACCGGCGGCUCGAGUGGUAACCGUUAUUAUUGGGUCUAAAGGGUCUGUAGCCGGCCGGAUAAGUCUCUUGAGAAAUCUGGCAGCUUAACUGUCAGGCUUUCAGGAGAUACUGUCUGGCUCGAGGCCGGGAGAGGUGAGAGGUACUUCAGGGGUAGGGGUGAAAUCUUGUAAUCCUUGAAGGACCACCAGUGGCGAAGGCGUCUCACCAGAACGGACCUGACGGCAAGGGACGAAAGCUAGGGGCACGAACCGGAUUAGAUACCCGGGUAGUCCUAGCCGUAAACGAUACUCGCUAGGUGUCGGCCACAGUGCGACCGUUGUCGGUGCCGUAGGGAAGCCGUGAAGCGAGCCACCUGGGAAGUACGGCCGCAAGGCUGAAACUUAAAGGAAUUGGCGGGGGAGCACCACAACGGGUGGAGCUUGCGGUUUAAUUGGAUUCAACGCCGGAAAUCUUACCGGGACCGACAGCAAUAUGAAGGCCAGGCUGAAGACUUUGCCGGAUUAGCUGAGAGGUGGUGCAUGGCCGUCGUCAGUUCGUACUGUGAAGCAUCCUGUUAAGUCAGGCAACGAGCGAGACCCCUGCC